GUGUGUGUGUCUGGUGCUCUAGCAGUUGUAGGUUGGGAGAUAGGUUGAGGAAGGGGCUAGAGGAUUAGGUGUGAGCUGAGAGGGGGGUGGGAGGACUAGGUUGGGUGUAAAAGAGAGGGUGAUGGGGUAGGUGAGUGGUUGUGAGCUCAGAAUGUGGUGGAGGAAUGUCAGGUGAAGGAGGGUGCACACCCUUCAGUAUAGACCAAGAAUGUGUGGGUGAGGGGUGUGCACUCAAGGGAGGAAGAGGUGGGCUGCAAGAGAGGAAGAGGUGGGCUGCAAGAGAGGAAGAGGUGGGCUGCAAGAGAGGAAGAGGUGGGCUAUCCCUCCUUUUUAUAAAAAUGCUGGCACCCUCCUAAAUGAAUAAGGACAGUACUGCUUUUCCAGCCCUCACUUUGUGUACCCACCUCUUCCUGAUACUUCACC
ensembl:lncRNA